CAAAGUAAAUGACGCACAGCAGAAAGCAUUUUCUCUGUUCAUUUAAGACCUAUUAUACUGCAUAAUGUAAAGUGACUAAUAUGAAAGCUGGUUAAGACAGCCAUAUGCAAAUUGAUCUGUGACUAUAACAGUCGUAAAACCAGAAGGGAAGUUUGGACAGUGCGUGUUGGCAAUAUUCACAAGGUGCAGAGCUGUGCAGUAGCAUUUUUCAGACAACCACACAGAGCUAAUUAAGGUGCACGUUUGUUGUGGCCACCCCAGUUGGAGGAAGCAAGGAUUUAAAUUUCAGCUGUAGCACCUGAUCUGCAGAAAAAGCAUUAAAGGCUUUAUAAAGAAGAACUUCAUCAAUGUUCUCUGGCUGUCUUAUGGAGACAAAAGUUGUGGUGAUCUCAGCUGGACCCUGUAGAGGAAAGCAAGGCAGCCACACACUCCAACUAACUGAGCAAUUUAUUGUUAAACCCUAUUAAAGUAAAUAGAAUUUUCCAGCAUGUAUUUGAUGGUAAGUCUGUAUGUUCUUUGCUUUGUAAGGAGUCCUCUAUGGCUAGAAGUUCAGCAGAGUUAGAAUAUGCUUUGCAUUCAGUUUUCUUUGUAUGGCUUGGCUGAAGUUUGUUGUCUUGUUUUGAGGUAGUUCAUUUAAUCUGAUUGUGCAAGCAUAAAAAUCCUUUUGUAAAAAAAAA